UACAGAGGGUGCGAGCGUUGUCCGGAAUCACUGGGCGUAAAGGGCGCGUAGGCGGCCUGAUAAGUAGGGGGUGAAAUCCUGUGGCUCAACUGCAGGGCUGCCUCCUAGACUGUCGGGCUUGAGCACGGUAGAGGCAGAUGGAAUUCCUGGUGUAGCGGUGAAAUGCGCAGAUAUCAGGAAGAACACCCGUGGCGAAGGCGGCUCUCUGGGACGGUACUGACGCUGAGACGCGAAAGCGUGGGGAGCGAACAGG
rnacentral:rRNA from 1 species